UACGUAGGGUCCGAGCGUUGUCCGGAAUUAUUGGGCGUAAAGGGCUCGUAGGCGGUUUGUCGCGUCUGCUGUGAAAAUCCAGGGCUUAACCCUGGACCUGCAGUGGGUACGGGCAGACUAGAGUGCGGUAGGGGAGAUCGGAAUUCCUGGUGUAGCGGUGAAAUGCGCAGAUAUCAGGAGGAACACCGGUGGCGAAGGCGGAUCUCUGGGCCGUAACUGACGCUGAGGAGCGAAAGCAUGGGGAGCGAACAGG
rnacentral:rRNA from 1 species